ACCAGCUUUAACCAUUUCAACCCUGUAUCAUCCUGAACCUGGCUGCAGUGUGACAUUCCACAGAUUACUAAUCUACUUGGAAAUAACGUCAAACCUACUUGUAUAUAAAAUACUUUAUUCAUUUACUUUCAAGAUAUCCUGUUUGUGGCAUAUUGCCUUUAUUCUGUUUUACUCUCAAAGUAUCCUGUUUGUGGCAUAGUGCCUUUAUUCU